rnacentral:rRNA from 1 species
UAAGCGACUAAGCGUACACGGUGGAUGCCCUGGCAGUCAGAGGCGAUGAAGGACGUGCUAAUCUGCGAUAAGCGUCGGUAAGGUGAUAUGAACCGUUAUAACCGGCGAUUUCCGAAUGGGGAAACCCAGUGUGAUUCGUCACACUAUCAUUAACUGAAUCCAUAGGUUAAUGAGGCGAACCGGGGGAACUGAAACAUCUAAGUACCCCGAGGAAAAGAAAUCAACCGAGAUUCCCCCAGUAGCGGCGAGCGAACGGGGAGCAGCCCAGAGCCUGAAUCAGUGUGUGUGUUAGUGGAAGCGUCUGGAAAGGCGUGCGAUACAGGGUGACAGCCCCGUACACAAAAAUGCACAUAUUGUGAGCUCGAUGAGUAGGGCGGGACACGUGGUAUCCUGUCUGAAUAUGGGGGGACCAUCCUCCAAGGCUAAAUACUCCUGACUGACCGAUAGUGAACCAGUACCGUGAGGGAAAGGCGAAAAGAACCCCGGCGAGGGGAGUGAAAAAGAACCUGAAACCGUGUACGUACAAGCAGUGGGAGCACGCUUAGGCGUGUGACUGCGUACCUUUUGUAUAAUGGGUCAGCGACUUAUAUUCUGUAGCAAGGUUAACCGAAUAGGGGAGCCGAAGGGAAACCGAGUCUUAACUGGGCGUUAAGUUGCAGGGUAUAGACCCGAAACCCGGUGAUCUAGCCAUGGGCAGGUUGAAGGUUGGGUAACACUAACUGGAGGACCGAACCGACUAAUGUUGAAAAAUUAGCGGAUGACUUGUGGCUGGGGGUGAAAGGCCAAUCAAACCGGGAGAUAGCUGGUUCUCCCCGAAAGCUAUUUAGGUAGCGCCUCGUGAAUUCAUCUCCGGGGGUAGAGCACUGUUUCGGCAAGGGGGUCAUCCCGACUUACCAACCCGAUGCAAACUGCGAAUACCGGAGAAUGUUAUCACGGGAGACACACGGCGGGUGCUAACGUCCGUCGUGAAGAGGGAAACAACCCAGACCGCCAGCUAAGGUCCCAAAGUCAUGGUUAAGUGGGAAACGAUGUGGGAAGGCCCAGACAGCCAGGAUGUUGGCUUAGAAGCAGCCAUCAUUUAAAGAAAGCGUAAUAGCUCACUGGUCGAGUCGGCCUGCGCGGAAGAUGUAACGGGGCUAAACCAUGCACCGAAGCUGCGGCAGCGACACUAUGUGUUGUUGGGUAGGGGAGCGUUCUGUAAGCCUGUGAAGGUGUACUGUGAGGUAUGCUGGAGGUAUCAGAAGUGCGAAUGCUGACAUAAGUAACGAUAAAGCGGGUGAAAAGCCCGCUCGCCGGAAGACCAAGGGUUCCUGUCCAACGUUAAUCGGGGCAGGGUGAGUCGACUCCUAAGGCGAGGCCGAAAGGCGUAGUCGAUGGGAAACAGGUUAAUAUUCCUGUACUUGGUGUUACUGCGAAGGGGGGACGGAGAAGGCUAUGUUGGCCGGGCGACGGUUGUCCCGGUUUAAGCGUGUAGGCUGGUUUUCCAGGCAAAUCCGGAAAACUAAGGCUGAGGCGUGAUGACGAGGCACUACGGUGCUGAAGCAACAAAUGCCCUGCUUCCAGGAAAAGCCUCUAAGCAUCAGGUAACAUCAAAUCGUACCCCAAACCGACACAGGUGGUCAGGUAGAGAAUACCAAGGCGCUUGAGAGAACUCGGGUGAAGGAACUAGGCAAAAUGGUGCCGUAACUUCGGGAGAAGGCACGCUGAUAUGUAGGUGAAGUCCCUCGCGGAUGGAGCUGAAAUCAGUCGAAGAUACCAGCUGGCUGCAACUGUUUAUUAAAAACACAGCACUGUGCAAACACGAAAGUGGACGUAUACGGUGUGACGCCUGCCCGGUGCCGGAAGGUUAAUUGAUGGGGUCAGCGCAAGCGAAGCUCUUGAUCGAAGCCCCGGUAAACGGCGGCCGUAACUAUAACGGUCCUAAGGUAGCGAAAUUCCUUGUCGGGUAAGUUCCGACCUGCACGAAUGGCGUAAUGAUGGCCAGGCUGUCUCCACCCGAGACUCAGUGAAAUUGAACUCGCUGUGAAGAUGCAGUGUACCCGCGGCAAGACGGAAAGACCCCGUGAACCUUUACUAUAGCUUGACACUGAACAUUGAGCCUUGAUGUGUAGGAUAGGUGGGAGGCUUUGAAGUGUGGACGCCAGUCUGCAUGGAGCCGACCUUGAAAUACCACCCUUUAAUGUUUGAUGUUCUAACGUUGACCCGUAAUCCGGGUUGCGGACAGUGUCUGGUGGGUAGUUUGACUGGGGCGGUCUCCUCCUAAAGAGUAACGGAGGAGCACGAAGGUUGGCUAAUCCUGGUCGGACAUCAGGAGGUUAGUGCAAUGGCAUAAGCCAGCUUGACUGCGAGCGUGACGGCGCGAGCAGGUGCGAAAGCAGGUCAUAGUGAUCCGGUGGUUCUGAAUGGAAGGGCCAUCGCUCAACGGAUAAAAGGUACUCCGGGGAUAACAGGCUGAUACCGCCCAAGAGUUCAUAUCGACGGCGGUGUUUGGCACCUCGAUGUCGGCUCAUCACAUCCUGGGGCUGAAGUAGGUCCCAAGGGUAUGGCUGUUCGCCAUUUAAAGUGGUACGCGAGCUGGGUUUAGAACGUCGUGAGACAGUUCGGUCCCUAUCUGCCGUGGGCGCUGGAGAACUGAGGGGGGCUGCUCCUAGUACGAGAGGACCGGAGUGGACGCAUCACUGGUGUUCGGGUUGUCAUGCCAAUGGCACUGCCCGGUAGCUAAAUGCGGAAGAGAUAAGUGCUGAAAGCAUCUAAGCACGAAACUUGCCCCGAGAUGAGUUCUCCCUGACUCCUUGAGAGUCCUGAAGGAACGUUGAAGACGACGACGUUGAUAGGUCGGGUGUGUAAGCGCAGCGAUGCGUUGAGCUAACCGGUACUAAUGAACCGUGAGGCUUAACCU